rnacentral:rRNA from 1 species
AUUGAACGCUGGCGGCAGGCUUAACACAUGCAAGUCGAGCGGGGUGAUGGUGCUUGCACUAUCACUUAGCGGCGGACGGGUGAGUAAUGCUUAGGAAUCUCCCUAUUAGUGGGGGACAACAUCUCGAAAGGGAUGCUAAUACCGCAUACGUCCUACGGGAGAAAGCAGGGGAUCACUUGUGACCUUGCGCUAAUAGAUGAGCCUAAGUCGGAUUAGCUAGUUGGUGGGGUAAAGGCCUACCAAGGCGACGAUCUGUAGCGGGUCUGAGAGGAUGAUCCGCCACACUGGGACUGAGACACGGCCCAGACCCCUACGGGAGGCAGCAGUGGGGAAUAUUGGACAAUGGGGGGAACCCUGAUCCAGCCAUGCCGCGUGUGUGAAGAAGGCCUUAUGGUUGUAAAGCACUUUAAGCGAGGAGGAGGCUCUUUUGGUUAAUACCCAAGAUGAGUGGACGUUACUCGCAGAAUAAGCACCGGCUAACUCUGUGCCAGCAGCCGCAGUAA